CUAGGAAUAUUGCGCAAUGGACGAAAGUCUGACGCAGCAAUGCCGCGUGCAGGAUGAAGGCCUUCGGGUUGUAAACUGCUUUUAUGACUGAAGACUUCGACGGUAGGUCAUGAAUAAGCCUCGGCUAACUCCGUGCCAGCAGCCGCGGUCAUACGGAGGAGGCGAGCGUUAUCCGGAAUUACUGGGCGUAAAGAGAUGCGUAGGCUGCCUGUCAAGUUUUUGUUUAAAGUUUCCCGCUCAACGGGAGGAAUGACAGAAAAACUGACAGGCUAGAGAGCGGAAGAGGUAACUGGAAUUUCCGGUGUAGGGGUGAUAUCCGUAGAUAUCGGAAGGAACACCAAUGGCGAAGGCAGGUUACUGGUCCGUUUCUGACGCUCAGGCUCGAAAGCGUGGGGAGCGAACGGG
rnacentral:rRNA from 1 species